AAAUUUUAGUAGCAAGUCAGCAUAGACAUACUUUAAGAUGGAAGCAUGUAGUCCGGGACUGGUAGCUAAUCAUUUGAUUAGUUAUUUCUCAAGCAUAUCAAUCAUUAGCUAUAUACAAACUUGCUAUAAUAUAUGAGGAGUUGGAGUGAAACAAAUAAGCUAGGUAUUUUCCUAUACAAGCAGUAUGAAAGUGUCAAUGCAGCCAUGGUGGGAGGCCGACGAGCCAUUCCAAUCAUCCCACUCAUCAACCGACAACAGUGUGACAAUGAGGAGUCGGGCAUACCGUGGUGUCGAAGGCUCGAAGCCGACCCCAAAGUGGAGUCGAAUUGGAGACGAAGUGGUGUCGAAGCCCAAGUGGAGCUCAUGGUCUCUGUCGUGGUUUUGUCACGGCAGAUGUCCUCGUGAAAGGACUUAAAGAUGGAGCCAUCGCACCUUGGUGGCGACUCAAAGGGGUGAGCGAAAGCGAGACUCAGAUUUACCCAGGUUUGGCCCCUCGUGAGGAGGUAAAAGCCUACGUCCUGCUUUGUGUAGAUUGAUGAUGGUUUCGAUUACAAGGAGGACGUAACUCGUCUGACCUAGCUCUCGAUUCUCUCUAACUCGCCUGACCUUUCCCUGGGACUCGCCUUUAUAUACAGGUCGAGGCCCUAGGGUUUACAAAGUCCCGCUAUCCUACACUUGGUAGUCUUCCUUAUCUCUAAGUUGCCGUGCUCCCCACGAACAGGAGCUUCCUUGACGUUCCAUCAUCCGUACGAUCUUCUUGAACCACCCCACAACUCCUGGGCCACUGGAGACAUCGCCAAAGGUGAGUCGUCCCUUUGGUGACCCGGCCCAUUAAGGGCGGGUUACCCACAGGUAACAUCCCCAACAGUCUCUCCAUGCACCCAACGCCUCGACGGACGGCAACGCUUGCAGUGGGACCUGUUGGAGAAGAGGUUUGAUUCUAUAAUGGCGGCGGUGCUCAAAGGACACGAUUGCUUUUUAACUUAUACUCAUAUCGUCGUUGUUGAUCUGACGAGAGGAAGAAGGCGAUGUCAAAGUUUCAGAACAAAAGACAAUGAGAGAGGUGUGUUUUUCAGCAGCUCAAAACUCUGCUCCCUUUUUCUGUUAUUCUGAUCCUCUUCUUAUGCCCUAUUUACAGCAGUCGUUAGGUGAUCUAACUAACUCGUUUUACCCGAUUCGUUGGUCAUUUGCGAGGCUAUUUUAUUCGAGUUUUAUUUUUUCAUUUUAACAUUUAUGUUAAUGCGUGUAAUUUUUCAAAUUCGUAUUUUUAUUCAAAAUUUAUGAUUUUCCUUAUUAAAAAAAUUAGAUGAACUUUUCUGACAAAUGGUGAACUCUUUUAAAAUUUGAUGAACUUUUUUCAAAAUUUGAUGAACUGUUUUGGAAUUUGAUGAACUUUUUUAAAAUUUCGAUGAACUUUUUAAAUGAUUUCUGUUACUUUUUGUACGAAAAUGACCGUGAAACUGGGCCGGCCCAAUUUCCUGGGCGCCCACGCGCCAGUUCUCCUAGCGGGCGCUUAAGGCGCCGACUAGCUAGGAGCUCGUCAUUUAGGUCAAUCAAAAAAAAAAGAGCUCCUCAUUUAGAGUACUAGCGAUCUUUUUUUCUUUCCAAUCCCUGUAGCGAUCGUACAUAGCAUGAGGAUUUCAAUCCCUAUCGUUCCAUGGCCAUUUUAGCAGCGAGACCAUCGCCAAACGGCCGAGUAGCUCUAAAUUGUUUUAACACUAGGCCUAUAUAGAAAUUCUGGGGCGCCUGUGCAUGUCCGCGCUGCAGCUAGCUAGCACAGGAAUAUGAUGGCAUGUUGGGGAAGAAGAUGGAGUAGCUGCUUUCAGAUUCGCGGAUCGAUCCACCUUUUUCUUGCUUCUCUUGCGUCUGAAUUCCAUGAUGAAAUUUCAAAGAGCCUGGUAACGUCAUAUCAAUGGAAUGGGUCGUUCUGCUCGCUCCGAACGGCUCCUAGCUACCAGAAAAAAGGGAAAGUAGUGCUUGUACGUACCCAUCUUUGGUGCACCCACGAAAGAACCUUUGUGAAAAUGAUCAUCAACGAAAGUUAUGAACACUUGAAUAGUUUGGUGGUCAAAUAACAUUUGAGGAGCUUUGUAAAAAAAAACGGAUCCGGAAACCAGCCCCUAUGACCUCCCAGGUGAGGCAACUCGGGUGGGGCGCAGCCGCCAUAUUGGUCAACCCUGCCGUCACCGUUGGACGCCUCCGGUCAAAAACGGCAAGGCAAGAUUUUCAUAACAUGAAUCACAGAACGUCCAAGCUAGCUUGAGUUGGAGUCUAUGGAAGUCGAUAGAGUUAUCUUGGCAUAAUUAUAGGCCAAGCCCGAGGCUAAUAUCAUGUAGGGAAACAUAUUCCCUGUUUGUUUCACUCCAACAUCUCAUACAAACGGUGGAGGAAUAACGGAUGGAUUUGAAAUGAGUGCGGAAUAGAUACUAGCACAAGACCACUUGUUUCUAAAUUUCAGCUAUAUAUAUCUAGCUUACUUACUAUAAUUUGAUAUAUACCAGAGGAAGGAAGAUGUACAUUUUGUGAUGAACUAUAUAUACAUACCAGCCAAAUGAAUGCUACUUAAACAUCCAAUAGGCAUGCAUGCAUGCAAUCAUGAGUAUAUUGUUUGUGGCAUCGGCCGGGCACCAGCCCAAGCAUUUUCUUGGCACGAAUAAUGCAUAUGUGCACAACGUAUGUGUGAUUUACUGGAAACGGACACACAUUUGGACCUAUUCAACAUGUACUAGGAAAGUUCCAUCUUGUUCAACGGUACAACAAUCACGCCUGUCACCACGGAGAUUACCCGAAAUCAUCCCCAACCCCGACGUAUGUGACACGGUAGCAGCAUAAUAAAAGUCGCAGUAAUUAAGUGAUCGUUCUAUAUAUUACCACUGUCCAGGUUGUGAACAGAUAAGUCAUACACCCCAUGUCACGAAACAAAUACGUCAUACACCCCUCCCCCUCUCGUCUCCCCCCCCCCCUCGCCCCGCAGGCGGCCCAGCGGGGCAACCCAGGUGACGUCAGCAGCGACGGGAAGCUUCUCCCCCCUUUGCUCAGCCCUGGUUUGGCACGGACCAAUAUGGCCGGGCAAGGGCGCCGCGCUCGCGAGGGGCUGGCAGGCGUGGGUGGUGAGUGGUGACGGCGUUCGCGGGGACAUGGGCGGUGCCCCCUAUGGGUGCCUCUUGGUUCUUGAAGACAUUGUCGUGGAUCCCCUUCAUGUGUCAGGGCUCACGAUGAAAACAAUUGUCUGUUCUCAGACUCGGCAGCGACGAUACUUCAUGUCCAAAUCCUCUUGGGGGCAUUGUCUCUGAGCUCAGGGCCCCUCUUUGACCAUCGAUGAGGUGUUAGGCUUGUUUAGGCUUAUGUUCCAUCUGCUUUGUAAGGGGGUUCUCUAUCAUAUUGUAUCGUUUGUCCAUGUUCUCUGAUUCGGUGCUUUAUUUAUAAAGCGCGGCGAAAGCCUAUUUCGAGAAUUGGAAGCGGAAUCGAACGCAUGUCUCCUUUGGCUAAAGCAGUCCCGAAGGAUUGACACUAGUGGAGAAUCAGUCAACAGUCCCUGUUCGUAAGGACCUUUAGUGCCGGUUCUGCAACUGGCACUAAAGGUUGGGGACUAAAAGCCCCCCUCCCCCUUUAGUGUCGGUUCGUCACGAACUAGGACCGAAUGGCCACUACGUGGCACGAGCCCGCGCGGGGGGCUGACCGGGACUAAAAGGUUUAGGGGUUUUGGGUUUUUGGUUUAUUUUUCCUUUUAAUUUUGUGUGUUCAGUUUAAUUCCUUUUAAUUUAAAACAUAUUUUGCGCUACUACAUAUUGUACACGUUAUGCAUAUAUAUAAAUAGAAUUUCUGGUAGAACCGAUCAUAUAUAUCAUCGAAUUUUUCGCACGACCAUUCACACAUGUACAUGUAUAUAUACAAUUUCUCCAAUAAUUUUCAGAUCAUUACGUGGAGUCAUUAUAGCUUGUAAUGGUAUUCUCCUUUCGGAUCUAUGGCCUGGUCGAGCAAAAAUCCCGCUAUUUCCUCUUGAAUUGCUCCUACGCGAUCCGUUGGUAGGAGCUGGUCCCGCUUUUGUUCCAUUUUUAUUAAAAAAAGAUCAAUAUGAAUAUAUUAGUUGUGUGUACAUAUAUUAGAUCAUUAUAAAAAGAAUUGUUAAUUGUGUUCUGGCAAACGUUCCCAAAAUUGUCUCUCACUUUAGGACCUUUUGAACGUCAUCAUGUGAGUGUUCUCGCAAACGUAGUAUGCACUUAAAUUAUUCCCCAGCGCCAGACUCAGGAGCUUUACGAGAAUAGAAUUCAAUUAGGUAAUAAUUAAUUAAGCAUAAUAAUGAUAUUGAAACUAGAAUUAAAGAGAAUGAAUUACCCUGGGUCGCAUCCAUUUCAGUUUUUGUUCCAUUGACCUUCAACCUGUUUCAUGAACUUUUUCCAAGCCCUGCCCUCCGGCAAAGAAAAUGAAUAAAGGAAUUAUUAAUUACUUGUUAUCAGGAAAUGAACUAAAGAGGCCGACAUAUAGUUCAAUAAUGAUUGAAAUUACAUGUCGACCACCCCCCUCAAGAUUGCGUAGUUUGUAUCGUCUUGAAGUUGUGAGUCCAGUACUAGAACUUCAAUGAUUAGCAAGAUCUAGUGAAAACUGCAUGCGCACACGUUUUUGUAUAAUUAAGCGGGCAUGUGCAUAUAUAACUCAUCAACUAUAGUUAUUAAAAUCUAGUAACCAAAAACAAAAUUUAUAGUACAAGACAGUGUCACACACCCAAAGUUGUAAGGAAGUAGUAUUUGUGACUGGGUAUAUAUUCGCACCAAGAACUCUACCAUGCUUUUCCCUGUGUCUUUUCGUUCCCGUUUACGCAUCCAUGUCUCUUCAUUAAUGAUAUAUGGCUCAAUCAACCCAAUGCCAUAGCGUCCAACUUUUUUUCAUUUCAUACAUCUUCAUUUUUCAUCAUACCAUAGAAAAGAAUAUAUAGUGAGGAUAACUACAUGUAAUGAACGAGCACUACAGCUAGCUAGAAUCUUAAAUUACACAAAGAAAUCACUUACAUACAAUAGCAAGUGACCAUAGAUUUAUCGAGUGCGUCUUGAUUGAGUAACUGAAACAUUUCUUGAUACUCAACCCACAACUAUUUUUUAUGGUAGUAAUGCUCUGCCUCGAUUUUCAUCAUGAGGGACUCUCAAUCCGUAGUCUUUACUACUCUCAGGUAGCAUUGAUGCAAUUCAAGCGGGAUCUGCUCAUGCUUGACCACAGGUUAGCCGUGGACAUAUUUCCAUUGUAGUUGCUCCUCUGUAAACGUUUGGAAGUCCCCGAUGCCUAGGAGUUGUUCUACAAUGACAUGGGACUCUUUAGCCCGCCUUCUAUGAUCAUCGAUUAUUACCAGCUGUUGAUCGACGGUACUCACAUGUGUUUGUAGUGGGGGCAUCUAUUGCACUGCCCGUUCUCCCAGCCAGGGAACAAUUUUCCCGCAUAUUUUGCCAACUGCUUGGCUCGAGCUCGACUCCCAGGGGCGGAGCCAGAAAAUUUGGUCAUUGGGUUCACUACAUGACUCAUUGUGACUAAUCAACAGGGGCUGCGUGCGUGCGAGAAAACCUUAGUGCGCGACUAAUCAACAGGGGGUUGCUAAUCACAGUUUAGAGCUGGCAAGGACUCCGGCUUUUCACUUUUGUGUCCUUUAUUUAGUUGUUCACAAGAGAAACUUUCGAUUGAUGGGUUCAGCCACAAUUUUUUAAUGGGUUCAUGAAGGUAAAUAAGCACCUACACACACGUACGGGUUAAAAUCUGUUGGGUUCAUUUGAACCCAAUGCUUAUACCUUGGCUCCGCCACUGUUGACUCCUUUUUUGUGUGCUCGAUAUGACUUCUUGAUAGAGCGGUCAUAGUAUGAGUCGAUAUGCUUGACAACUGGUUGAGCAUUAUUAAUAAAGUGUUGUAUGACAUGCUCAUGUGUAUGAUCUCCUUUGGCGGUGGGGGAGGUUUCGGUCCAAAAUGGGCCUUCACUUGGGCUUGCACUUCUGUUGUGUUUUCCUCGAGAGUCAGGUGCUAAGGCAACCUUGGAAGAGGCUUGGGGCUUGGACCAUAUCUGAAUUUCUUCCACCUGUUGUAACUCUAGUCGCUGUUGCUGAGGCGGCAGAGCCGCUGAGGCGGCGGAGACGGCUGACGUGGUGCCUGCUUGGACGAGGAGAAGGAGGCUGACGCGGUGCCAGACUUGGAGGAGGAGGAGUCGGCUGACGCAGUGGCGGACUUGGAGGAGGAGGAGUCGGCUGACGCGGUGUCGGACUUGGAGGAGGAGGAGUGGGCUGACGCGAUGCUGACUUGGAGGAGGAGAGCCGGCUGAUGAGGGGCCGGACUUGGAGGAGGAGGAGUGGACUGACGCGGUGGCGGACUUGGAUGAGGAGCCGACUGACGCGGUGUCGGUGGCCUUUGAAAGACGAUGCAAUCCUUUCUCCAUAGAGUGAUAUGGUGUAUGGACUUAGAUUCUUCGUCACGUGCAUCACGUCGAUUGAAGACCGGACCUCUAGGUGUUUCCAAUAGGGUAGCUCCCAAAAUAAAGAUUUCUUUUUCCACAUGGGCACGUGUCCGGUAACGUCGUCUUUCGGAACAGAUUGACCGCGAGGACCCUUUCCAAAGAUUACUAUUUGAUCCAAAUCCUUGACCAUAGCCAAUAACUCAUCACAAGUAGUGAGGUUAGGCUUCUUCCGGUGAUCUGCCUCACCGUUGAAAUGCUUGCCUUUCUUUCUUACGGUAUGAUUGGUCGAAAGAAAUUGACGAUACACCAGGUAGCCAACCUUCUUAGAUUUUCCCAAAUAUGUACCUUUAGUCUUAUCUAAACAGUGUGUACAUGCAUUGUAUCCCUUGUUUGAUUGUCCUAAAAUGUUACUAAGAGCAUGCCAAUCAUUGAUGGUUACGAACAACAAUGCUCAUAGGUCAAAUUCCUAUUCUUUGUGCUCAUCCCACACACGUACACCUGGUGAGCCCACAACUGCAAAAGUUCAUCAACUAAUGGCGUUAGGUACACAUCAAUGUCGUCGUAGGGUUGCUUCGGUCCUUUAGUCCCGGUCUGUGGUACGGGCCGGGACUAAAGGCCUAUUUUCUGUUUUCUUAUUUUAUUUGUUUUUGCAUAUUUGAGAAUAUAAAUAGUUAUGUGUUUGCAUAUUUGAGAAUUUGACAAAACUAUGAAAAUGAAAAGUGUUUGAAAUUGAAUAAAUAAUUCAAAACUAUUUUCUAUUUUCAAAAUUAAUUAUUUUGACUAUCCAAACUAUUAACUAUUUUGUUAUUUUCAAUUAAACACUAUGUUUAUUAAAAUUCUUUUUGCAUACUUGAGAAUUUGACAAAACUAUGAUAAUGAAAAGUGUUUGAAAUUGAAUAAAUAAUUCAAAAGUAAAAGGUUUAGUACAUUCCAUAUAUGCAUUACAUAAAAGGUUUAAUACAUUAUUACAUUAUUGCACCAAUAUUCCUAUCUAUUAUUUUUGUUUUCUUCUGGGUCAUAGCCAUGGAGAAUCUUCAUCAUUGAGUAGGAUGCUUGGGUCAGUUUUCACUUUGAAGGGCGGAAUUUCAUGAAACUUAUUAUAAUCUACUGACAUGUCUUCCUUGUCAUCUACUCCCACAAUGUUUCUUUUCCCUGAAAUAACUAUGUGGCGUUUUGGCUCAUCGGACGAUAUCUUCUUUUGCUGAUUUCUUUUUCUCGUUUUUGUAGACAUGUCGUUCACAUAGAAAACCUGAGCGACAUCAUUGGCUAGGACAAAUGGUUCGUCCAUGUACGCAAUAUUGUUGAGAUCCACUGUUGUCAUGCCGUACUUUUGGUCUACAACUACCCCGCCUCCUAUCAACUUCACCC
rnacentral:lncRNA from 1 species